UACGGGAGGCAGCAGUGGGGAAUAUUGCACAAUGGGCGCAAGCCUGAUGCAGCCAUGCCGCGUGUAUGAAGAAGGCCUUCGGGUUGUAAAGUACUUUCAGUCGUGAGGAAGGUGUUAAGGUUAAUAACCUUAGCAAUUGACGUUAGCGACAGAAGAAGCACCGGCUAACUCCGUGCCAGCAGCCGCGGUAAUACGGAGGGUGCGAGCGUUAAUCGGAAUUACUGGGCGUAAAGGGCACGCAGGCGGUUAAUUAAGUUGGAUGUGAAAUCCCCGGGCUUAACCUGGGAAUGGCAUUCAAGACUGGUUAGCUAGAGUCUUGUAGAGGGGGUAGAAUUCCAUGUGUAGCGGUGAAAAUGCGUAGAGAUGUGGAGGAAUACCGGUGGCGAAAGGCGGCCCCUGGACAAAGACUGAACGCUCAUGUGCGAAAAGCGUGGGGAGCAAAACAGGGAUUAGAUAACC
rnacentral:rRNA from 1 species